CUUACCAUGCAAGUCGAACGGUGAAGCCAAGCUUGCUUGGUGGAUCAGUGGCGAACGGGUGAGUAACACGUGAGCAACCUGCCCUGGACUCUGGGAUAAGCGCUGGAAACGGCGUCUAAUACUGGAUAUGAGCUCUCAUCGCAUGGUGGGGGUUGGAAAGAUUUUUCGGUCUGGGAUGGGCUCGCGGCCUAUCAGCUUGUUGGUGAGGUAAUGGCUCACCAAGGCGUCGACGGGUAGCCGGCCUGAGAGGGUGACCGGCCACACUGGGACUGAGACACGGCCCAGACUCCUACGGGAGGCAGCAGUGGGGAAUAUUGCACAAUGGGCGCAAGCCUGAUGCAGCAACGCCGCGUGAGGGAUGACGGCCUUCGGGUUGUAAACCUCUUUUGGUAGGGAAGAAGCCUUCGGGUGACGGUACCUGCAGAAAAAGCGCCGGCUAACUACGUGCCAGCAGCCGCGGUAAUACGUAGGGCGCAAGCGUUAUCCGGAAUUAUUGGGCGUAAAGAGCUCGUAGGCGGUCUGUCGCGUCUGCUGUGAAAUUCCGAGGCUCAACCUCGGGCUUGCAGUGGGUACGGGCAGACUAGAGUGCGGUAGGGGAGAUUGGAAUUCCUGGUGUAGCGGUGGAAUGCGCAGAUAUCAGGAGGAACACCGAUGGCGAAGGCAGAUCUCUGGGCCGUUACUGACGCUGAGGAGCGAAAGGGUGGGGAGCAAACAGGCUUAGAUACCCUGGUAGUCCACCCCGUAAACGUUGGGAACUAGUUGUGGGGUCCUUUCCAC
rnacentral:rRNA from 1 species